rnacentral:lncRNA from 1 species
GCCUUGGAGUCAGGAUGAAUUUGUCAGUUGGUGAGAAGCUGCCUGUUUGUUCUUUGGUUGUAUGACCUCAUCUAUUUUCUCAGCCCCAUACUUUCGUCUUGCAGUGUUAUCCUGAAGCGAUGAAACUGAGUCUAAGUUGGCUGGCUCUAUAUGGCAUGUGCUUCCACUCUUCCCUUCAGUGCACCGAUCGGAUGAGCUGAUUGAUUGAUUGUUCCGUUCAUCAGUCAUUUUUAGGUAUCUUUUUAAAUUCUUCAGCAUGGCACCUAUAACUUUAAGUAGAAAGAACUAUGUGGAUAGCUGAAUUCCCUAAAAUUGGAAGAAUGAAGAGGAGGUGUGAAAGGAGAGAAAGGUAGGAACCCAAAGAUAGCAUCCUUAUAACUAACUGAAACAGGUGUUCCUGUGUUGUUCAUAAGUUGUCUCUGAGUAUAGUUUUGAUAGCAACGUUUCGAAAUAAUUGUAACAAUGACAACUUUUGUCU